AUAGAUCGUAGGAUAGCGUAGGC
rnacentral:piRNA from 1 species